GAACGCUGGCGGCGUGCCUAAUACAUGCAAGUCGAACGCUUCUUUCCUCCCGAGUGCUUGCACUCAAUUGGAAAGAGGAGUGGCGGACGGGUGAGUAACACGUGGGUAACCUACCCAUCAGAGGGGGAUAACACUUGGAAACAGGUGCUAAUACCGCAUAACAGUUUAUGCCGCAUGGCAUAAGAGUGAAAGGCGCUUUCGGGUGUCGCUGAUGGAUGGACCCGCGGUGCAUUAGCUAGUUGGUGAGGUAACGGCUCACCAAGGCCACGAUGCAUAGCCGACCUGAGAGGGUGAUCGGCC
rnacentral:rRNA from 1 species